GUCACUGUAGCGCAAUGGAUAGCGCGUUGGACUUCUAAUCCAAAGUCUUGGGUUCGAAUCCCAAAUGGGAUG